UGGGGAAUAUUGGACAAUGGGGGCAACCCUGAUCCAGCAAUGCCGCAUGUGUGAAGAAGGUCUUCGGAUUGUAAAGCACUUUCGACGGGGACGAUGAUGACGGUACCCGUAGAAGAAGCCCCGGCUAACUUCGUGCCAGCAGCCGCGGUAAUACGAAGGGGGCUAGCGUUGCUCGGAAUGACUGGGCGUAAAGGGCGUGUAGGCGGUUUACACAGUCAGAUGUGAAAUCCCCGGGCUUAACCUGGGAGCUGCAUUUGAUACGUGUAGACUAGAGUGUGAGAGAGGGUUGUGGAAUUCCCAGUGUAGAGGUGAAAUUCGUAGAUAUUGGGAAGAACACCGGUGGCGAAGGCGGCAACCUGGCUCAUGACUGACGCUGAGGCGCGAAAGCGUGGGGAGCAAACAGGAUUAGAUACCCUGGUAGCCCACGCUGUAAACGAUGUGUGCUAGAUGUUGGG
rnacentral:rRNA from 1 species